GUAAGGCUUUGCUGGAGCUGCCUUGGUCCGUCGUUGUCAUCACCGAGCUCUGUGAACUUCCCAAGCAGUGACGACUAUUCAUAGUUUUCGACGACGACAAUUUCAUGUGUCUCUGAAUCUUUGUCCUCCAGAAAUUCUUUAUCUCGUUAUCCGUUCUCCCCGGUAGAUGUUUCGCAAUCUUCGACCACCUAUAUUCAUUUAAGACCCCCUGAAGUUGAAUGAUCAAAAGCUGUUCUUCUGCUGUUAUGUUCCCUCGCCGCACAUCUGGCCUGAGAUAGUUCAGCCACCGGAGCCGACAACUUUUUCCCGUACGUUUUAGACCUUAAUUAUUAUAUACAUACAUAAUAUAUAAUUGAUUAUCAGAACAUAACCAAUUAAAAAACAUGUGGGAGUGUAUGUCAUUAUUCGCAAUUAUAUCAACCUACUUCUAAUCA